rnacentral:rRNA from 1 species
UUAAGCGUCUAUACCAUGUUAACUACACCGGUUCUCGUCCGAUCGCUGAAGUUAAGCAACGUCUGGCGCGGUCGGUACUUGGAUGGGUGACCGCCUGGGAACACCGCAUGACGGCUUUUG